UAAAAGCUUUACAGCUUUGACCCUGGUCC
rnacentral:piRNA from 1 species